rnacentral:snRNA from 14 species
CGAGAUCAGGAGAGGAUUGUUGGUGGACACGUGGCGGACGGGGGACCCACACUCACCUCGUACAAUAUCCCAUUUUCCAAUGAAAGAAAAGAAGGGGAAUGAUUGAUUCGGUACGGUACUUGCACUACACAAUACAAGGCAAGACAAGACAAGACAAGAGAAGGCA